GAUGAACGCUGGCGGCGUGCCUAAUACAUGCAAGUCGAGCGAACAGACGAGGAGCUUGCUCCUCUGACGUUAGCGGCGGACGGGUGAGUAACACGUGGAUAACCUACCUAUAAGACUGGGAUAACUUCGGGACACCGGAGCUAAUACCGGAUAAUAUAUUGAACCGCAUGGUUCAAUAGUGAAAGACGGUUUUGCUGUCACUUAUAGAUGGAUCCGCGCCGCAUUAGCUAGUUGGUAAGGUAACGGCUUACCAAGGCGACGAUGCGUAGCCGACCUGAGAGGGUGAUCGGCCACACUGGAACUGAGACACGGUCCAGAGUCCUACGGGAGGCAGCAGUAGGGAAUCUUCCGCAAUGGGCGAAAGCCUGACGGAGCAACGCCGCGUGAGUGAUGAAGGUCUUCGGAUCGUAAAACUCUGUUAUUAGGGAAGAACAAAUGUGUAAGUAACUAUGCACGUCUUGACGGUACCUAAUCAGAAAGCCACGGCUAACUACGUG
rnacentral:rRNA from 1 species